UAAAGCCUACCACACCAGCUCCGCAAUACUCUGAUUCUAUCCCGAGCGAACAUUAGGAAAGUAAGCAUUUUCUCAGAUGGCCGAAGGCAGCACUAGAGGGAGAGCACCCUAGCCAUGAGACAGUGUCACACAGACCCUCGAACAUCAGGCCUGCCACUCUCAGGACCCAGCCCCCAACACCCCAAGUCAGGGAGGUGUCAACUAGAAAGGAAAUGAGUCCGUGGCUGUGCAGGUGACUGCGUCUUCAUGCCACUGAACAAAGCCCUGGUGUUAUCAUUCCUUCUCCACCAUGUUACAUCAACUUAUUGUUUGCCUUCACCUCUUGAAGCCAAUGUUCUUGUUUUGUUUUUUUUUUUUUAAAGAGAUCAACGGUUCAUUGGCCCAAUCACAGAGCAGCUCACCAGAGGAUUGUACCCAAGAUCUUACAGCGAGGAGACAGUGCUCAACUCCCGGAGGCUAAUACAGGGGAAAGUGUCACUGUGCUUCCCAAGAGGAAAGUCUUAAGCAUGUUUAUAACAUUCCCUCAGGAAUCCUACCACCACACCAACAGUGCUGAGGCAUUAUAGGAUCUUACAGCUAACGACCUCCAAGACCAGAUUCCCUAGACAGACUUUGGAAAGCGUAAAGCCAAAAGAAAAGACAAUCAUGAAGACAAAUUCAAAGCCUGUGGUCCUGACAGCUAUUGGGAGGCCAGCUUUCACCAGACCUCAUACAAAAAAACCUCACUUCCCUAUUGCCGAGUGCAUCGAGUGUGGCUUUCAGGAGCAGGGCUAAUAAAGUGUGGGAAAAGG